rnacentral:rRNA from 1 species
GAUGAACGCUGGCGGCGUGCCUAAUACAUGCAAGUCGAGCGAACAGACGAGGAGCUUGCUCCUCUGACGUUAGCGGCGGACGGGUGAGUAACACGUGGAUAACCUACCUAUAAGACUGGGAUAACUUCGGGAAACCGGAGCUAAUACCGGAUAAUAUAUUGAACCGCAUGGUUCAAUAGUGAAAGACGGUUUUGCUGUCACUUAUAGAUGGAUCCGCGCCGCAUUUGCUAGUUGGUAAGGUAACGGCUUACCAAGGCUACGAUGCGUAGCCGACCUGAGAGGUUGAUCUGCCAUACUGGAACUGAGACACGGUCCAGACUCCUACGAGAGGCAGCAGUAGGGAAUCGUCCGCAAUGGGCGAAAGCCUGACGGAGCAACGCCGCGUGAGUGAUGAAGUUCUUCGGAUCGUAAAACUCUGUUAUUAGGGAAGAACAAAUGUGUAAGUGACUAUGCACUUCUUGACGUUACCUAAUCAGAAAGCCACGGCUAACUACGUG